CUUUCUUUGCUGGCGACCGGCGCACGGGUGAGUAACACGUAUCCAACCUGCCCUUUACUCGGGGAUAGCCUUUCGAAAGAAAGAUUAAUACCCGAUAGCAUAAUGAUUCCGCAUGGUUUCAUUAUUAAAGGAUUCCGGUAAAGGAUGGGGAUGUGUUCCAUUAGGUUGUUGGUGAGGUAACGGCCCACCAAGCCUUCGAUGGAUAGGGGUUCUGAGAGGAAGGUCCCCCACAUUGGAACUGAGACACGGUCCAA
rnacentral:rRNA from 1 species